UGUCCCCAAAUCACACCGGGAUAAUGGCAAACAUUUUUGUAGCGUGCUAUUCUUCUAAGGUUUUUUUAUAUGCAUUAGCUCCGGGAAUCCCUGCCACAGCCCCGUGAGGCAGAUCCCAUUGUACAGCGGAGUAAACUGAGGCACGGAAGUGCGAACUAGCCCGUCGGGCGCAGCUUGCUCAGUGGCCAAGUUCUGAGUCAUCGUUUGCUGCCUUCAGGUGGUGGUAACGCAGCCCGCAAACCUUCCGUGGAGGUAGCUCGCUGACCUGUGUCCCAGAGGCAGAAAUGUCUUCAGCUGUGCCAGGAGUGUCGGUGAAACAGAGGCUGGGACCGACAGGAAGCCACUGAGAAAGAGGGGGAAGCGUCCGUUGCCGGACCUACUGCUUUUUAAUCCCCGCUGGACCUGGGGCCCACGCCUGCUGCACCCCCAAUCCCGGCGCUGCCCGACCCGCCGCCGGAAGACACGGGAGCGGCACCGAAAACAAAACGCCGGCCGCUUCCCAGAUCUUUCCCGUGACUCCCGGAUGAGACACAUUUGGGGGUACUUCUGAAAAAAGAAAAGAAAGAAAACAUUCCAUGCUUCUGCAUACAGAAUGAAUCAACUUCUUUGUCUUCCAGAAGUGUUCUUGGUUUCUUUCAUACUGACACUUGAUAGCUAAGCAAGACAGUCAAGUUGUCAUCACUGGUGCUACUGCCUGGAAGAGUCUCAGAUGCUUUAUGUCUGGUUAUAAGAAUGUUCGUGAAGCCCUGGCUGGCGUAGCUCAGUGGACUGAGCUCGGGCUGCGAACCAGGCAUUGUAGGUUCGAUUCCCAGUCAGGGCAC